AAGCGGAAACCCAAGAGCGCCACGCUGCGGGCGGAGCUGCUGCAGAAGUCCACGGAGACCGCCCAGCAACUGAAGCGGAGCGCCGGGGUGCCCUUCCACGCCAAGGGCCGGGGGCUGCUGCGGAAGAUGGAUACCACCAGUAAGGCCCCCAUCCCGGUGCCGCAAGCCUUGCUUUUGGGGCAGAGCUAAGGGCUUGACCUGGAGACCCGCUCCCUGUUGGGGAGGUGGUGCAUGUGAACAGUCUUCAGGCAGCAGUGUUGGGAGCCCAUGGGAAAGCGAAGGCACCGGGGCAAUUUCACCGGCUUCUCCCCUUGGGGAGCUCCCUGGGAGGAUGUGUGGGCACAGAGACAGGAAGGCCGGGAUCUGGGGACAGCGCUGGCCCCUGCUCCUCUGCUGUCGGCAGCGGUGGCUCUCGGCCUUCCCGGCUCGGGCUUUGGGCCGCAAGUGCUGCUCUUGGGUUCCGAGUGUCCCUGGGC
rnacentral:sRNA from 1 species